rnacentral:rRNA from 1 species
GACGAACGCUGGCGGCGUGCUUAACACAUGCAAGUCGAACGGAAAGGCCCUGCUUUUGUGGGGUGCUCGAGUGGCGAACGGGUGAGUAACACGUGAGUAACCUGCCCUUGACUUUGGGAUAACUUCAGGAAACUGGGGCUAAUACCGGAUAGGAGCUCCUGCUGCAUGGUGGGGGUUGGAAAGUUUCGGCGGUUGGUGAUGGACUCGCGGCUUAUCAGCUUGUUGGUGGGGUAGUGGCUUACCAAGGCUUUGACGGGUAGCCGGCCUGAGAGGGUGACCGGCCACAUUGGGACUGAGAUACGGCCCAGACUCAUACGGGAGGCAGCAGUGGGGAAUAUUGCACAAUGGGCGGAAGCCUGAUGCAGCAACGCAGCGUGCGGGAUGACGGCCUUCGGGUUGUAAACCGAUUUCGCCUGUGACGAAGCGUGAGUGACGGUAAUGGGUAAAGAAGCACCGGCUAACUACGUG